AUUGAACGCUGGCGGCAGGCCUAACACAUGCAAGUCGAACGGUAACAGGAAGCAGCUUGCUGCUUCGCUGACGAGUGGCGGACGGGUGAGUAAUGUCUGGGAAGCUGCCUGAUGGAGGGGGAUAACUACUGGAAACGGUAGCUAAUACCGCAUAAUGUCGCAAGACCAAAGAGGGGGACCUUCGGGCCUCUUGCCAUCGGAUGUGCCCAGAUGGGAUUAGCUUGUUGGUGGGGUAACGGCUCACCAAGGCGACGAUCCCUAGCUGGUCUGAGAGGAUGACCAGCCACACUGGAACUGAGACACGGUCCAGACUCCUACGGGAGGCAGCAGUGGGGAAUACUGCACAAUGGGCGCAAGCCUGAUGCAGCCAUGCCGCGUGUAUGAAGAAGGCCUUCGGGUUGUAAAGUACUUUCAGCGGGGAGGAAGGGAGUAAAGUUAAUACCUUUGCUCAUUGACGUUACCCGCAGAAGAAGCACCGGCUAACUCCGUG
rnacentral:rRNA from 1 species